ACCUGGCUAGCUCAGUCAGUAGAGCAUGCGACUCUUAAUCUCACAAUCAUGGGUUCAAGUCCCAUGGUGGAUG
rnacentral:tRNA from 1 species